ensembl:snRNA U6atac minor spliceosomal RNA
GUGUUGUACAAAAGGAGAGACGGUUAGCACACCCCUGGACAAGGAUGGAAGAGGCUCUCGGGCCCAACAACAUUUACACAAUGAAGGCAGCGCCACCUACUUCAAGGUAUCGAACCAUCAUUUGUAAAU